GCCGUUCUCAGCUCUGGGGGUUUAAGGGAGACUCAGAGGGUCCCAGCCAGGGACCCAUUUGUGUCAGGAAGUUGAACCAGUCAGGACUUGUCACCAUGGCCUGUGCCCUGCUCCUCCUGGUGCUGAUGACGUGCUGCUCAGGGGUCUGGUCACAGCCUGUGGUGACUCAGGAGCCUGCGAUGUCCGUGUCCCCAGGAGGGACUGUCACUCUGUCCUGCAGCCUGAGCACCGGAGCCAUCACCUCCAGCAACUAUCCUGGCUGGCUCCAGCAGAAACCUGGCUCUCCCCCUCGGUUGCUUAUAUACAACACCAACAGCAGGCCCUCGGAGAUCCCCGCUCGGUUCUCGGGGUCCAUAUCUGGUCAGAAGGCCACCUUGACCAUCACGGGGGUCCAAGCUGACGAUGAUGCAGAUUAUUACUGUUCAGUGUGGACUGGGAGUGCUCAGCACAGUGAUACAGUCAGAUGGGGAAGUGUGACUAAAACUCUCAAUGCUCUGACUCCUCUGACCAAUGGAAAUAAUAGAAACAAAUUAAUAGAAAAUUAG